rnacentral:rRNA from 1 species
CGGGACACGUGGUAUCCUGUCUGAAUAUGGGGGGACCAUCCUCCAAGGCUAAAUACUCCUGACUGACCGAUAGUGAACCAGUACCGUGAGGGAAAGGCGAAAAGAACCCCGGCGAGGGGAGUGAAAAAGAACCUGAAACCGUGUACGUACAAGCAGUGGGAGCACGCUUAGGCGUGUGACUGCGUACCUUUUGUAUAAUGGGUCAGCGACUUAUAUUCUGUAGCAAGGUUAACCGAAUAGGGGAGCCGAAGGGAAACCGAGUCUUAACUGGGCGUUAAGUUGCAGGGUAUAGACCCGAAACCCGGUGAUCUAGCCAUGGGCAGGUUGAAGGUUGGGUAACACUAACUGGAGGACCGAACCGACUAAUGUUGAAAAAUUAGCGGAUGACUUGUGGCUGGGGGUGAAAGGCCAAUCAAACCGGGAGAUAGCUGGUUCUCCCCGAAAGCUAUUUAGGUAGCGCCUCGUGAAUUCAUCUCCGGGGGUAGAGCACUGUUUCGGCAAGGGGGUCAUCCCGACUUACCAACCCGAUGCAAACUGCGAAUACCGGAGAAUGUUAUCACGGGAGACACACGGCGGGUGCUAACGUCCGUCGUGAAGAGGGAAACAACCCAGACCGCCAGCUAAGGUCCCAAAGUCAUGGUUAAGUGGGAAACGAUGUGGGAAGGCCCAGACAGCCAGGAUGUUGGCUUAGAAGCAGCCAUCAUUUAAAGAAAGCGUAAUAGCUCACUGGUCGAGUCGGCCUGCGCGGAAGAUGUAACGGGGCUAAACCAUGCACCGAAGCUGCGGCAGCGACGCUGAUGCGUUGUUGGGUAGGGGAGCGUUCUGUAAGCCUGUGAAGGUGUGCUGUGAGGCAUGCUGGAGGUAUCAGAAGUGCGAAUGCUGACAUAAGUAACGAUAAAGCGGGUGAAAAGCCCGCUCGCCGGAAGACCAAGGGUUCCUGUCCAACGUUAAUCGGGGCAGGGUGAGUCGACCCCUAAGGCGAGGCCGAAAGGCGUAGUCGAUGGGAAACAGGUUAAUAUUCCUGUACUUGGUGUUACUGCGAAGGGGGGACGGAGAAGGCUAUGUUGGCCGGGCGACGGUUGUCCCGGUUUAAGCGUGUAGGCUGGUUUUCCAGGCAAAUCCGGAAAAUCAAGGCUGAGGCGUGAUGACGAGGCACUACGGUGCUGAAGCAACAAAUGCCCUGCUUCCAGGAAAAGCCUCUAAGCAUCAGGUAACAUCAAAUCGUACCCCAAACCGACACAGGUGGUCAGGUAGAGAAUACCAAGGCGCUUGAGAGAACUCGGGUGAAGGAACUAGGCAAAAUGGUGCCGUAACUUCGGGAGAAGGCACGCUGAUAUGUAGGUGAAGCGACUUGCUCGUGGAGCUGAAAUCAGUCGAAGAUACCAGCUGGCUGCAACUGUUUAUUAAAAACACAGCACUGUGCAAACACGAAAGUGGACGUAUACGGUGUGACGCCUGCCCGGUGCCGGAAGGUUAAUUGAUGGGGUCAGCGCAAGCGAAGCUCUUGAUCGAAGCCCCGGUAAACGGCGGCCGUAACUAUAACGGUCCUAAGGUAGCGAAAUUCCUUGUCGGGUAAGUUCCGACCUGCACGAAUGGCGUAAUGAUGGCCAGGCUGUCUCCACCCGAGACUCAGUGAAAUUGAACUCGCUGUGAAGAUGCAGUGUACCCGCGGCAAGACGGAAAGACCCCGUGAACCUUUACUAUAGCUUGACACUGAACAUUGAGCCUUGAUGUGUAGGAUAGGUGGGAGGCUUUGAAGUGUGGACGCCAGUCUGCAUGGAGCCGGCCUUGAAAUACCACCCUUUAAUGUUUGAUGUUCUAACGUUGACCCGUGAUCCGGGUUGCGGACAGUGUCUGGUGGGUAGUUUGACUGGGGCGGUCUCCUCCUAAAGAGUAACGGAGGAGCACGAAGGUUGGCUAAUCCUGGUCGGACAUCAGGAGGUUAGUGCAAUGGCAUAAGCCAGCUUGACUGCGAGCGUGACGGCGCGAGCAGGUGCGAAAGCAGGUCAUAGUGAUCCGGUGGUUCUGAAUGGAAGGGCCAUCGCUCAACGGAUAAAAGGUACUCCGGGGAUAACAGGCUGAUACCGCCCAAGAGUUCAUAUCGACGGCGGUGUUUGGCACCUCGAUGUCGGCUCAUCACAUCCUGGGGCUGAAGUAGGUCCCAAGGGUAUGGCUGUUCGCCAUUUAAAGUGGUACGCGAGCUGGGUUUAGAACGUCGUGAGACAGUUCGGUCCCUAUCUGCCGUGG